GUGCCAGCCGCCGCGGUAAGACGGAGGGGGCGAGCGUUGUCCGGAAUUACUGGGCGUAAAGAGCGCGUAGGCGGCUCUUCAAGUCGGUUGUGAAAGCCCUGGGCUUAACCCGGGGAGGCCAGCCGAAACUGGAGGGCUUGAGUGCAGGAGAGGGAAGUGGAACUGCCGGUGUAGCGGUGGAAUGCGUAGAUAUCGGCAGGAACACCCGCGGCGAAGGCGGCUUCCUGGACUGUUACUGACGCUGAGGCGCGAAAGCUAGGGGAGCGAACAGGAUUAGAUACCCGUGUAGUCC
rnacentral:rRNA from 1 species